rnacentral:lncRNA from 1 species
AUCGAUGAUGAGUACCAUGGGGUAUCUGAAACGGGAGUUUUGAUUAAACCCAUGUGGAAUUCUGAGGUCCUGUUACAGAGACACGCAGCGAAACCCUUCCCUCUGUGGGACCUGAGUGCAGAGUGCAUCGUGCUUCCACCUUUGUGGUUGUUAUGGAUGGGCUGUCUUUUUAGUAUAAAGUUGACUCAUAAAUAAAUAAAAUGUAUUAAUCUGUGAAAAAUAUCCUAAGUCUGCUGCCUAUGAUUAAGAAAUGUGAUGGAACAGGGAUUAUGAUUAAAAUCUAGUUGAGAGUCUGUCCCCCAUAAAUUAGUCGUAAAGGCUCUUCCUGCUCCGGAAAGGAGUAUACGGUCAUUUGUAUCUAACAGGUUUUGAUCCGUGUGGGUGGGGGGUGGUUACUAAGGAAAUGGAAAUACAUAUACUUGUAUAAAUAGUUGUUUAGGUGACCCCAUCCUCGAGAGCCCAACAAAGACCAGUGAUGAGAAGGUUUUGCAAGACAAUACUUCUAAUUAAGCCAAUCCUUUGUUCCCCACUGAAUUUUAUUAAAACAAUAAGACUAGAAGGAAGUCUGUUAUUUUCAAAGGCAGUGACUAUUGAUGGACAUACAUUUCGUUAAAAGUGUUCUUGUGUAGUGGAUGGUCAUAGGUGCACAUAUAUUUGUAUAAGAGGAAGAAGGUAUAAUUUUAUACCUCAGUGUAUUUUCGGAAAGUCAGCAAGCCACAGACCAGUUCAGGACACAUGUUUUGAGAGGAGGACACGGAUUCAUCUUGUUUUCCGAGACAGAUAUUCGAGGAAACAUCCUCAGCGCUUCCAUUUUUUGGAAGGUGUGCCUGAACCUUUCCAAGUUCCAGCAACAUCAUUACGGUGCAAACACAGCAAGCUGAUCUGAUCCUUCUCUGACUGGGAAGACCCUGACUAUUCUGGGACUUAGGAGAUUAAAGGCCAAGGUGAGGAAGCAUCAGUGUUGGUGUUAUUACACCUGCUUUACCAUAAGGACAAAUCAGGCAAAAGGCAGAAGAGCAGGUGGACGCUAAUGAGUGAACAGAGAAUGGCUGAUUUAAUCAUUUAAUAAAGAAUUGCUAUCAUGAGCGAGCAGCAUAAAGUCUAAUAUAAAGUGAAGACACUGUCGCAUUUGGUCGUUAGCCUGUGAUGGAGACCUUGACCUUUGCCUCUCCGGAUAAAGAGAGAAGCGCUCGCUGGUGACGAUGGUGGCCAUGGCUUCCGUGGGUAAAUCGAGGAACAAAAAGGAUGCUGUUCUUGGGUCAGUGAUGACAGUGAGACUUGACUCGACUUCAUGAUUAACCUAGCACCUCCAACUGAUGUCCUUUAAGUCAGUCUGGACCCUUUGUCCUUCUGAACGUUGCUCCACAGAAUGAAGGUCACGGCUGAUUGCAUCCGUCUGUUCUGAGGAAGAUCUUGGCUGUUACCUUUCUGGGUUCUUCGGAGCUGUGUGUGGCAAUGUGAUUGCACUGGGGGGGCAUGGUCCUAGCACAUUCAUGUCGUCAUGCCCUGUCCUAUGGGACAGCUCCUUGUCCUGUGGGAAGAUGGAAGAGAGUUGGAGGAGGAUGCGUGAAGCAAGGAUGCUCGUUGAUCCAUAGACACCUCAGUGAGGGCCACUACAAAAAGGGACCGUAUCUAUUGAGAAAAGAUCUAGUUUAUGGGAAGAGAGCCUAUACAGGUCUUGGUUACAUCCAAGGGUCUUGUUCUUGGCUCUUCAAAAAUUCCUGGGUGUUGAUGUAACCAUCCGUCAUGGAUCAACGAAUGGGUCAAUAAACAAAGGUAUAAAUGAAGGAAAAGAUUGCUUAGCCCGGAUCGAUGAUGAGUACCCUGGGGUGUCUGAAGUCGAGGACUUUGAUUAAACCCUAUAACUCUGAGGUCCGUUACAGAAGAUUCAUCCUUCUUUGCUAUUCCUAUGGUAAUAAGCUUUUUGUAAGAGUUAAAAAUUUUCAAGUUUGCUCUUGUGCUUGGGUUUCUGAAUAUCGUAUUUUCAAUGCACAAAUAAAUCAAGGAAGUAUAAAUGAAUAAGGACAAAAUGGUUUAUUCCUGGUCCAAAUAUGGGAGAAUGUAAUGUAAUAUACAUAAUAUAAAAAUCAUUAUUAAUAUAUUUCUGAAGCACUGGGUUCCAGUAAAAUAAAUUUAUUAAAGCCGACCAUUUUGGGUAAAGAGCAUUUAGAUAAAUGGAUGUGAGAGCACCUGUUGUUUUUCUGGGUUAGGUUCUUGGAUUUUUGUUUUAUUAAGAGUAGGGUAAAACGUUUACUUAAAUUAACUAUUGAUUAAAUAACUACGUAAUUGAGAGAGGACUUAUGCAGAGAUAUGUGUUAAGGAUCUGUCGCAUGGUCGGUUAUGAUUAACCCAAUGGAUUUUCACUAUUUUUAAUGAAAAAAACAACCAAGAAAAAAAUGUGAUCUUUUUUCUGUGCUUGAUGGGCCACAUGGACAGGGAUUAAUAUUGUCCUGUUUCUGUGGAGUCACAGAUAUUAAUGAUAUGGAUAUACAUAUGUAUACAAGAAUAAGUUAAUAGUUUAAUCAGUUACUUGAAAGAAGGCAAUGUAUGGACCAAUGAGGACCAUGUGUUCUGGAACAAGGAGAGUGAUGAAUCCACAUCUAUGUACUUGUUCUCCAGAUAAAGAGACGAGAUCGAGGCUCUUAAUUUUUGAAAUGGUCAAUAUAUUUAGGUAGGAUUUCUCUUCCUGGCUUGUUGGUCCAAUUGCUGUAAAAAAUGGAAGAUAAAGUGACUCCGUGUGUAACGAUAUCCCUGCCUACAUGCUUACAUGUAUAAAGAUGGGACAAGCAUGGACAAUGGCUGAUGGAGAUAUACUCGAAUCCAAGAUUCAGAUGAACCUGAUUCUUUCCAGGAAAAGAUUCAUCUAGCAAGAAGUUAGAGCUCUCACCUGACCAGAUGGGGAUGUAUAAAUAUGUGUAGUGGCCAUAGUUCUUAUUCUUUUGUUUGGUGUUGGUUUCAAAGUUGUUGAUUAUAUUCAUUAAAUUAAAUUUUUGAU